GACUACCAAAGAAGAAAUAAAACAGAUGUAAAGAAAAGCGGGUUUUGCGACGGAUAUCAGGUUGGCUAUAUCCUCCUUACCAGACCCUAGCUGUGAAGGACCAGAAGUUUCAAUAAUGUCCCUAUUUCCCUUAAUUCAGGAAUCAUCUGGGAAUGAGUGUCUGCAUGGUGUAACGAAACAACGGAUUACUGCACUAUCAUCUGAAAAACUACAGU
rnacentral:lncRNA from 15 species